rnacentral:rRNA from 1 species
AUUGAACGCUAGCGGGAUGCCUUACACAUGCAAGUCGAACGGCAGCACGGACUUCGGUCUGGUGGCGAGUGGCGAACGGGUGAGUAAUGUAUCGGAACGUGCCCAGUAGCGGGGGAUAACUACGCGAAAGCGUAGCUAAUACCGCAUACGCCCUUAGGGGGAAAGCAGGGGAUCGCAAGACCUUGCACUAUUGGAGCGGCCGAUAUCGGAUUAGCUAGUUGGUGAGGUAAUGGCUCACCAAGGCCGCGAUCCGUAGCUGGCUUGAGAGGACGACCAGCCACACUGGGACUGAGACACGGCCCAGACUCCUACGGGAGGCAGCAGUGGGGAAUUUUGGACAAUGGGGGAAACCCUGAUCCAGCCAUCCCGCGUGUGCGAUGAAGGCCUUCGGGUUGUAAAGCACUUUUGGCAGGAAAGAAACGGCGCGUGCUAAUACCAUGCGCAACUGACGGUACCUGCAGAAUAAGCACCGGCUAACUACGUGCCAGCCGCCGCUGUAA